UACGGGGGAGCAAGCGUUGUUCGGAUUUACUGGGCGUAAAGGGCGCGUAGGCGGCCAGCACAAGUCAGUUGUGAAAUCUACCGACGGCUUAACUCGGAACGGUCAACUGAUACUGUGCGGCUAGAGUGCAGAAGGGGCAACUGGAAUUCUUGGUGUAGCGGUGAAAUGCGUAGAUAUCAAGAGGGAACACCUGCGGCGAAGGCGGGUUGCUGGGCUGAGCACUGACGCUGAGGCGCGAAAGCUAGGGGAGCGAACGGG
rnacentral:rRNA from 1 species